UCACAGAGGCAGAUGAAUGUUCCAGUUUUCCCUCCAUAUAAUAAUAGAGAUUGUAGUUAGUACUAAAUUCCACGCUAAGUGAGCUGACUAUAACUCAUCGCCAGUGUGGAGAAAUAAGAGGAGACGAGAGGGGAGGGAGACUGGUGAAAAUUACAAUCUGUCCUCAUCUAAAUAGUUGAAAAGUAGCCAACUGUCAGCAGAGUUAGAUGAAUGAAUUUCAGUCAGAAAUCUUUGCUCUGCAAUUAAGCGCUGCUGCUGGUUCACCACAAAUCAAACGCUCUCAAUACAUGUGUGUAAACAGCUUUACACACAUGUGCCAAUACUUUAUACACUUUUCCAAAUGCUUUGGUAAUAGAUCUGACGCUUUUGCUUAUGCCACAAGUUUAGUGAGACUGAGGCUGCUAUUGCGUGUGCAGCCUGAUGUGUUAUUGACAUUGUUGGUCCCUUCAUGGUGCUAAUCAACUCCUGGUUGUGUUAAAGCUGAUGUGCCUGUUGGAAAAGGAAGAAGACACUUGCACUGAGAGGUUUCUUGUUGCUUUAUUUCCUUCUUGCUAACUGAUUUUCUUCACAGCCGUUCUAAUUUUCUUUUUUAGGCUCUGUCUCAAGGUCACAAAUUAAAUCUGACUAGCGGGGUCUAAUAAUCAAGUUCUUUUCAGUCCCCAGGAGACAGUUAUUUAUGAUGAACGUUGUGUUUUGAAUGUGUCCUGUGAGUGCAUGUGUCACCUAUGUUGCAUCCGUAAUGUUUUCCAGUUAACUCCUCCCACACUUGCUGCAUGCUGCGUGAGGCACCUUUUCUGCUAAGGAUUCCUGUAGAAAAAGUGCUCCCUUGUGGCCAUCCUGCUGUGAAUGAGUUUCCAACCCCAUCAUCCUUUACAGUACCCCUUCCUCACCCUCACAUUACCCCAUAAUCCAACCCUCCACACGCCCCUCCCUGCUCUGUGGAAGAGGCUGGGCAUUGCUAUCAGUUUGACUUACUCUUUUGUUUGUUUCAUGCUGAAUGAUGCUUGUCAGUUGUGUGGGUUGUACAAGCAAUUAUUCGGCUUCUCUUUUUGUGCAAAUUUACAAAAUGCAUUCCAUGUUUGUUUGUUUUUUUUAAUAUUUAGUGACUCUUUGCAUGAUGUGAGCUUUUAAAAAGAUAUUAACAUACAUGACUACUGUAGUGAUGGGCAGAAAUGUACUGAGGCUAAAUGGAAACAUGCAUUAAAACAAUGGGACUGAAGCAUGAAGGAUGAGAAAUCUGGUUUGGAUUUCAGACUUUACAAGAAUAGACUGUUAUUAAUAUGAAGGCAGAUUGACUUUGAGAUUGAAGAAAAGCAGUAGACUUAUGUAUUUUUUUAAAAACCGCCUCCAUGAAACUGUGGCGUCUGAAAUUGCUGCAUUUCAAGAAAAUGUCUUGCUGAAGAAAAGCACACUUCAAGUAGUUAAUCAUUGGGUUUCUGAUAGGCUAAUCACUUCUUGCUUAUUUGGUGACACCUGUGGUUAAAGUGGUAACAGGAAGUAGAGUUUUGUGCUACGACAAGCUCUCGUUGAGCACCUUCUUUUUUAGAAGUGCGACAGAAAAGCAGCCCGUGUCCGUUCUGUAUCCGUUAUUGUGCAGCCAAAAAACCUCGUCUUGAUGUAGAUAUUUAAAAUCUGUCAAUUUGUCUCAUGUUAUGUUGUUCAAAUUGUUAGCAGGGAGUAAAGUUGCUUCUCUUGUAGAUACAUUUUUGAUUAGUCUCCUUCACAAUAAAAGCCACCGUGUGCUUUCAUCAUACACUGUAUAUAAAAGAUAGGUGUAUCUUCAGGAUUUGAAAUGUAAAGUCAAAGCAAAAGUGGGUUACGUCUGCAUUCUUUUCAGUGGCCAUUAGGGGGCAGUUCCUCUGCUGAUAAAAAGAAGUAUAAUUGCAUAAAUGUUUAAUACCUCAGUAAAAACGGUAUAAAUCACAAUAUAGGUUAGGUGAGAUCUACUUUAGGGCAACAAAUUAUUACUGUAUGAGCGUUGCAGUUUCUUGCGAUUGCUAGUUUCCAAAAUCCAAUCCCAGUUCUUGUGGGCGGGGCUUUACAAACCACUGAUGUCACAGCAGCUAUGGCUCUCUUUUAUAUACAGUCUAUAAUUUUAGUAAGUGAAGUUUUGUUUGUUUGUUUGUUUUUAUGUGAAGCUUCAGCAAUACAAGAGUCAACAACUCAGCUGUAACCAGAUAAAAUUCAUACUGUAUUCCAGUUUCUUGCUUGUAAAAGCAGUUUGAAUGAUAAGAAAGGUGCUUCCCGGCACUGUAAAUUAAUUGCAGAAUGUAACCACAUUACAUUGUUUUGCAUUUUCUUUAAGAAUUAUAAAGACAUUUAAACAAUAAAAAAUAAAAUGAAGAUUUACUUUC